GGUCAAUACCUGGGGAAAGUUUGUUUUGAAAACAAACUCUAAGUGUUCGAAUCACUUGUUGACUU
rnacentral:tRNA from 1 species